rnacentral:rRNA from 1 species
UGGGGAAUAUUUGGCAAUGAACGCAAGUUUGACCAAGCAAUACUACGUGGAGGAUGAAGGCUUUUGGGUCGUAAACUUCUUUUUUUGAUGACGAAUUUUUAUUACUGACGGUAAUCAAAGAAUAAGUGCCGGCUAAUUCUGUGCCAGCAGCCGCGGUAAUACAGGAGGCACAAGCGUUGUUUGGAAUUAUUGGGCGUAAAGGGUCUGUAGACGGUUUACUAAGUUUAAUGUAAAAUCUUAAAGCUUAACUUUAUUUGUGCAUUGAAAACUGAUAAACUUGAGUUUGGUAUAGGUAAAGGGAAUUUUACGUGUAGCAGUGAAAUGCGUUGAUAUGUAAGAGAACACCGAUAGGCGAAAGCGCUUUACUGGGCUAUAACUGACGUUGAGGGACGAAAGCUAAGGGAGCAAAUU